AACGAACGCUGGCGGCAUGCCUAACACAUGCAAGUCGAACGAGACCUUCGGGUCUAGUGGCGCACGGGUGCGUAACGCGUGGGAACCUGCCCUUAGGUUCGGAAUAACUCCCCGCAAGGGGUGCUAAUACCGGAUAAUGUCUUCGGACCAAAGAUUUAUCGCCUUUGGAUGGGCCCGCGUUGGAUUAGCUAGUUGGUAGGGUAAAAGCCUACCAAGGCGACGAUCCAUAGCUGGUCUGUGAGGAUGAUCAGCCACACUGGGACUGAGACACGGCCCAGACUCCUACGGGAGGGUGCAGUGGGGAAUAUUGGACAAUGGGCUAAAGCCUGAUCCAGCAAUGCCGCGUGAGUGAUGAAGGCCUUAGGGUUGUAAAGCUCUUUUACCCGGGAUGAUAAUGACAGUACCGGGAGAAUAAGCUCCGGCUAACUCCGUG
rnacentral:rRNA from 1 species